AUGGGGAACCCUGGUGCAUCUCAUCAUUCUAUUACCCUACAAUCCUUAACUGUCUUCUCCCUCGUUGUAGUUUUUGCAGCAGAUCAUGUCCAGGGAGGAGAUUAUGGGUGCUCACCUUUCUCCUGUGGACAUCUCCGAGACAUAUUGCCUCCUUUCCGUCAGCGAGGUGAUCCUCUUGAUUGUGGUGUUGAAGCAUACGAGCUGGGUUGCACCAGUGGCAAGGCUACGAUUCACAUCAACACUGGAACAUACUAUGUGACUGCCAUCAACUACACCGGUUUCUACUUCUCGGUCAUGGACACCAACUUUGAUACUAGUAGCAGCUGCCCUCUUCCACUGUGGAAUCACCUUCCUUACUUUGGUGGAUACUUUGGUGGAUACGUUGGUAGAUACUUGGGCGGAAUUGAUUCAGUUUCACCACCUGGCUUUCGGUAUUUGGCCACUCGGAGUUAUGACAGAGCAUGUUUUGCUAAUUGUUCAAGAGCAGUAAUGAAUAAAAGUGCAUACAAGCCUGUUGCUUGCCUGAGUGCCAAAAAUUCACAUGUUUAUGUCUGGGUGUCUAAUUACACGUACUGUGCGGUUGAAGAUCUUGAACCUUAUUGUGGAUACCUGGCAGAGAUUCCAUUUGGUAACAAGUAUUCUCCUGAUUGGCGACAGCUGCAGAAUGCAAGUUAUGCAGAUAUCACACAAUUCAUAAGUAAGGGGUUUACUGUCCGAUUUCCUGUGGACAACAUUUACAGGAGGCCUUCUACUUUUGUGAUGUUAAGAAAGAACAUCAAUUUAUGCCUCAACAGUUCAAUCAGCUACUUCAAGGAGCAAAUAUCUGGCACAAGCAUUGUUAAUUGGACUCAUGCUAUUUUCUGGAGUGAGGUGCACUUCUUAGAAUGCAUGACUGGGAGCUCUAACGAUGAUUACUACUACACAACAAAGUUGUUUUUGAUUGCUGCAACCUUAGUAUCUGCUAUUGCUAUCCUCCAGUUCUUUUUUGUACUGUGCAGGUUCUUGUUGGCACCCCUGGCUGUAUGGAUAUUCCUAGCCUACAAGUACAUGAAAACAAGGAUCAUAAUUGAUGCAGUUGAGAAGUUCCUCAGGAUUCAACAAAUGAUUGGCCCGGCGAGGUACUCCUACACAGAUAUAGUUGCAGUCACAAGCCAUUUCAGAGAUAAAUUGGGCCAAGGGGGCUACGGCUCUGUGUACAAGGGUGUGCUUCUUCCAGGCGGUGUCCAUGUCGCCGUGAAGAUGCUAGAGGGCAACUCAAACUGCAAUGGAGAAGAUUUCAUCAGCGAGGUCUCCACCAUCGGCAGGAUCCACCAUGUCAACGUGGUGCGUUUAGUGGGGUUCUGCUCGGAGGAAAUGCGAAGGGCCUUAGUCUACGAGUACAUGCCCAAUGGUUCUCUGGACAAGUACAUCUUCUCUACCGAGAAGAGCUUCUCAUGGGACAAGCUCAACGAGAUCGCUCUAGGCAUUGCCAGGGGGAUCAACUACCUACACCAGGGGUGCGACAUGCAGAUUCUACACUUUGAUAUCAAGCCGCACAACAUCCUUCUCGACAGCAAUUUCGUCCCGAAGGUCGCCGAUUUCGGACUCGCCAAACUGUACCCGAGGGGCGACAGUUUCGUGCCUUUGAGCGCCAUGCGGGGAACCGUCGGCUACAUAGCUCCUGAGAUGAUAUCCCGGAGCUUCGGCGUCAUAUCCAGCAAGUCUGAUGUGUACAGCUUUGGGAUGUUGCUGCUGGAGAUGGCCGGUGGGAGAAGGAAUGCAGAUCCAAACAUGGGGUCCUCAAGCCAGGCGUACUACCCUUCAUGGGUGUACGACCGGCUGACUCAGGAAGAAGCGGGCGAGAUAUCUGAUGUUGCUGUUGACAUGCAUGAGCUAGAGAAGAAGCUAUGCGUUGUCGGAUUGUGGUGUAUUCAGAUGAGAUCUCGUGAUCGACCGACGAUGAGCGAGGUCAUUGAGAUCCUGGAGGCUGGGGUUGAUGGCCUACAGAUGCCUUCGAGGCCUUUUUUCUGUGAUGAAGGGCAUAUCCAUGUGGAGGAGUCUUACCAGUUCACUUCCGAGCUGUCGGCGGUCUCGGAGGAGGAAUUGAGUGUGGUGUCAGAGGAAGACGAUGUGUGA
rnacentral:rRNA from 1 species